rnacentral:rRNA from 1 species
UACGUAGGUGGCAAGCGUUGUCCGGAAUUAUUGGGCGUAAAGCGCGCGCAGGCGGUCCUUUAAGUCUGAUGUGAAAGCCCCACGGCUCAACCGUGGAGGGUCAUUGGAAACUGGGGGGGACUUGAGUGCAGGAGAGAAGAGUGGAAUUCCACGUGUAGCGGUGAAAUGCGUAGAGAUGUGGAGGAACACCAGUGGCGAAGGCGACUCUUUGGCCUGUAACUGACGCUGAGGCGCGAAAAGCGUGGGGAGCAAACAGG